AAGGGAGACCUAAUUCAGGUAUGGGACGAAAAAAAAGUAGUCGCUACCAAGAGUCAAUCCCAAAAGGUCGGAGCGAGGUAUGAGGCUUUCAAACUAGGUUCUGGGUUCAAACAAGACCUGAAUCAGGAACAAGGGCUAUUAGCUCAGGUGGUUAGAGCGCACCCCUGAUAAGGGUGAGGUCCCUGGUUCGAGUCCAGGAUGGCCCACCUGCACAGGUGGCAAAAACAAGAGAAGCGAGGAAUCAGCACCUUAUCUUAUCUAUAUAUAAGAGAGAAUGCUGGCUCUGAGUAAAGAGUCCAGAGGAACCUUGAAAACUGCAUAGAGCUAGGUGAAAAAGCCAAAAAAGAAGACCGCAA
rnacentral:tRNA from 1 species